AGCAGUCCUCACCUCUGGUGACCGGGAAGAGUUACGCAACUGUGUGGUACUGCGCAGAGAUGUUAGGCGGCUCAUAGUUUUAUUGCCUGUUGAGGAGCAGUGCCCCUAAUGGUGAUGUAGUUUGGUUUUUGUGUGCGACCUUCCUGUCUAGGCACAGGAAGCUCGAGUGGGAGGUGUCGCGUCAGACUAGGUCUGCAGCGGUUUGUUUAAAUCCACAGGGAAAAUGCACGGGAAAAAUUAAAAACAGAAAAAUUAAAUAGAAAAAAUAGGUGGUGUGUUAGCCGCGGUAAAUGAGAGUUUAUUAAGAUUAAGAGAAGCGCGAGUCAACUAAUGAGUGUCAGCUGUCCGCGGUUCUACUGAUUUGGUUGUGCUGCAUUCAGCUCACAGGUGCUUAUUUAUCUGGUUGGCCUUUAGUUGGGGAGACACACUGGUGAGAGUAACACGGAAAUUAAACUGUGCUUGCUCUCAGUUUGGAAGAAGUGCUGUGCAGGAACAUAACGCUGAAAAUUGGAGAGGCUGCCGGUUUUUUACCUAAGGACUAAGGGCUAACCAUUGCAAACCUUUGGACUUGUGCUCUAUAUUCUAAAAAAAAAAAAAAAAAAAGAGGAAAGACCAAAAACGGAAACAACUGUUGUCUGUCCAGUCCUUGAGUGAAACCCAGUGCCUGCAGAACUCCUUCAGUGUAACAUCCUUUUCGAGUUGGGGAAAAACACAGUGCUUAAAACCAACCAAACAAAACUGAAAACUCACCAAAAAACCAAAACAAAACCGUACAACUUGACAGUAAGUAAGGAAAAACCGCUGGUGGGGGCUGGACAGAGAGAAAGAGAAUGAAUUUGCAUUGUACUGAAUAGAUUAUUUGUGCGCUUGGAUGUACUCUGUAAUUGGUUCCUGAAUGUAACCUAUGUCCACUGUUUGAGAGAAAACGUAGAACCACCACUGGGAUUGGUGAUUCUGUGGUUCUUGGAGACUCUCCAUCGCGUCGAAGCGCCAUGUGGUAUAGAUCAUUACAUCUUGGUACACAGAGCACUGGUGAAACACUGUGUUGGUUAAGUGGGAGACAGUAUGUCGGGUAAGGGAGUGGAUUGAGAAGAUUCUGGAUGUGAUGAGUUUAAUGUAAAGGACGAAUAGAGAGAGAUGGUAGGGCCCAACCCAGGGCCCAACCCAGAGGUGAUAAAUCAGGGGAGAGCCCAGUAUUGAAGUAUUAGAGCUACAUGGUAAUCACAGGAUUUAAGGGUAAUUAU
ensembl:lncRNA